rnacentral:lncRNA from 1 species
GGUGAGCGAGCGUUGCGCCUUUUCAUUUUCUAAGAGUAUAGAUUACCCAUUAAUUUGUCUCUGCCUGCAAAUCGUCCUCCUGAAAGUGGGCAGAUUAUUGGGCAAUCAGACUUCACUAGAUGCAGAACUUCAUCUGGAGGGAGAGGAGAGAAAGAGUUAAAGGAUGAGGAGAGGAAAGCGGCAGAAUGAAGAGAUGCUUGAUCAGGUGCUGUGGCUAGUUCUUCCUGUCACUUGUCCUCGACAGGCAGCCAGUCUCAGUCAGGGGUUCAAUAACAUGGGACUGGUUAAGUUGGAAGCCCUCUCACCACGUCAAGGUACAGGCCGAGAGAAGGAUUUUGUUUUUAAUUAAGGCCUUUAACCACCUACUCUAUAUUUGUAGUGCUUGACCUGAUGGGGCUUGGAUAGGUGUAGCAAUAUGGUGCUGACUCAAACCGGCUGUGUAAUGGACUCCGGGACACUUCUGCUAUAUUACAUACACAAAUCUAGAACCUCCAGAUAUGCAAACACUAACUAGAAACCAAUGUCAAAUUCCAUACCAACCCUUGCCUAAAAUUUGAUUUGGAAUUGGACACAAAAGAUUAAUGGCUAGGGAGAAGGGGUUAAGGACCAGUAAGUCUGUAACUGGGCAACUGAACAGUCAAUUGAAAAUGUUACUUGCAAUGAAUACAUUUAAUAUGCAAAUGUAUUAAUUUACAGCCAAUUCAAGCAAGUUUCAAAUAUUUGCCAGCAAACAAAUGGAAAAAUAUACAAAUGUUUACAUGCUUGUAAACAUGACUUGGAAUACAAGACAAAUACAUAUGGUAUAUACUUACCAACUUCACAGCCAAUGUCUGCAAAAAAACAUCUUUGUAAUAUUGUUUUAAAUUUGUAUAACAGGUUAUUAAGGUUAUUUACAAUAACAUAUAAUAUACAACAAGAUGCAAUGUAGUAAAAUAGCUACCGUCUUGAGGUGGGGAGCCGGCCAAGCAGUGAAAACAAGGGUGGGGAAAACAUCGGACGAAACAGAUGACGGACGAUAGACACGAUGAACAGACAAAUUCAUGCACAUUGACAACAUGAGACAAACAAGACACAUGAAAAUGCUUGCCGCAUCUCCUGCACCGGGCCACCUUCUUACCUUUUCUCACGUAUUUCCGCCAGAAGCAGUGGACGCUGAACUCUGGGUAGAGUGUGGACACCUUCGAAGGCCUGGACCCAGGAUGAGGACUGGAAUCGGGACUGAGAAAUGGUGCCAGGUGCCCAGCAUGAAAACAAGUAAAAAUAUGUUUUCUCAUGGAUUUCUGAUGGUAUCGUGUCAUGGAGGGUUCCUCAUCUCUGCAGAGAAGUUCACGACCUAGGUCACUCAAGAUGACCUCAGGUAACAACACCCUCUUUGAAGAAGUAGGUGAAGAUCUCCCACACACGGAUUGCCUCUCUUGCUGCGUUGUUGGACCCCAUCCUUUUAACAUCCUGCAAAGCAGCAGACUUCUCCUCUGACACACAGUGGCAAGCUACAGAUCCCCUCCUGGUCCUCGUGUCCAUCCUCAUGAAGUUAUGCAGGACACAGGUAGCCUUCACACGCCUGAAUUCCUCCAGGAGGCAGUCCCAGAUGGCCUUGGUCACCCAACCUUGCAGUGCCAUACACGGUAACUGUAAGCAGGAAUCUCCAGUUACAAGGUAUCUGUAGGAAGAUGGAAUAUAAUUUAACUAUUAAACUUUUACAUCCCCAGGUCAUUGUGGACUACUAAAGUAUAAUAUCCCUUAUACCAAAUCAUGAUAACAUUGGAUUGAUAGAUGCAUGUGCACACAUAGGAUCAUAUCAAGGAUAGCAUCACAAAUUACUACAUAAAUACCACUUGAAGCUUGAUGAUGAGUUUACCAUUUGAAUCAGCUGUGCAGUGCUAAGGCAAAAACAAAAAUGUGCACCCCUUUGAGUCCCCAGGACUGAGAACCACUGCUCUUUUGGGGACAUCUUCAUCUGCAGACAGGCUUUCACAGCUCUCUGUAUCUGAGGACAGAAAACCUCACAAGAAAUAUACUUCAUUAUACUCAAAUUAGAACACACUGAAUAUUAUGUUACUAUUAUCUCCAUCCUCACUUCUAGGGACUGGAACUACACAAAAGUACCUGCACUAUCCAGAAUAGCCUACUUUCUCACUUUGACAGUUGGGGCUGCUAUCCUUUCACCCAUUCGCCAUGGAGGCUGUUAGCUAGCUAGCUACAAAUGCAUUUACAGUUUUUUUACAGUGAUAAAUAGAUCAAGAUGGCUAGCUAAUAUGAAGUUGGGUAGCUGGUGAUAUUUAAUUCACUUAGCUAGCUAUCUAUACAGUAUGUACAGUAUUCUUCCUAGGUUUUGGCCUUUCUAGGGAGUUUUUCCUAGCCACCGUGCUUCUACACCUGCAUUGCUUGCUGUUUGGGGUUUUAGGCUGGGUUUCUGUACAGCACUUUGAGAUAUCAGCUGAUGUAAGAAGGGCUAUAUAAAUAAAUUUGAUAUGUAAAGUUGGCUAGAUAGCUAACUACUGUUAGCUACAUUAGCAGACUAUUUGAGUUAGCCUGCACCGUAGCUAGUUAGCUAAUAAAACAGUGGUUUUUUUUUUUACAUUUUAGAAAUGUAUUUACUUAUUUGAAUAAGUUCUCCCAGCCAUGUGGACGAUUGGAAACGGGGCAGCAAAGUUUGUCACCAGAGAGUUUUAGAGCAUAUUACUAUGUAACUAUUUACCCUUUUCAUAACCAGACCUCCAUACAAAUGUGCCUUGCUCAAUUCUUGACGCACAACUGAAGGUGUUGCUAUAUGCUCCCAUAUGAUGCCAGCACGCCCACAAGCGAACCACUCUGGCCGGACUAAGCGGCACGCGGCAAUUUACCGCUUGCUACUGAGCUAGCGCUUCUGAGGUGAAAUAGAACUGCCGGCGUCCGCCUUCCUUUGCAACCUCUACGAGGUAGCCGAGCAACCAGCAUAGCAACGAACGCGUUGGUUCAUUACGUAAUCCGGUCAUAAUGUUGCAAGUUCUAGCAACAACCCUAGCAACAGAAGUUAGAACUCAUGUAAUCCCAUUGUGAUGUAGAGUGGGACAUUAUUUGGCAUGACAGGCCCCCAAAAGGCUAGGACCGGCCCUGCAUUCACAAGUACACCUUGUCCCAUAUAUUAUCAGCACAUUUAUAGUAGAGGUCGACCGAUUAAUCGGAAUGGCCGAUUAAUUAGGGCCGAUUUCAAUUUUUCAUAACAAUCGGAAAUCGGUAAUUUUGGACGCCGAUUUGGCCGAUUUUUUGUUUGUUUUUUUAUUAUUAUUUUUUUAUAUAUAUAUAUUUUUUUUAGACCUUUAUUUAACUAGGCAAGUCAGUUAUGAACACAUUCUCAUUUUCAAUGACGGCCUAGGAACGGUGGGUUAACUGCCUUGUUCAGGGGCAGAAUGACAGAUUUUGACCUUGUCAGCUCAAGGAUUCAAUCUUGCAACCUUACGGUUAACUAGUCCAACGCUCUAAUCACCUGCUUUACAUUGCACUCCACGAGGUUACGCGAAUGCAGUAAGAAGCUAAGGUAAGUUGCUAGCUAACAUUAAACGUAUCUUAUAAAAACAAUGAAUCAAUCAUAAUCACUAGUUAACUACACAUGGUUGAUGAUAUUACUAGUUUAUCUAGCCUGUCCUGCGUUGCAUAUAAUCGCUUAGGUACACGUUGCUCCAACCAUAAACAUCAAUGCCUUUCUUAAAAUCAAUACACAAGUAUAUAUUUUUAAACCUGCAUAUUUAGUUAAUAUUGCCUGCUAACAUGAAUUUCUUUUAACUAGGGAAAAUGUGUCACUUCUCUUGCAAACAGAGUCAGGGAAUAUGCAGCAGUUUGGGCCGCCUGGCUCAUUGCGAACUGUGAAGACUAUUUCUUCCUAACAAAGACAGCAAUGUAACAGGAAUAACGUUUUGUUUUUGAGAUGAUAGUUGCCGGAUUCGACCAUAUUAAUGACCUAAGGCUCGUGUUUCUGUGUGUUAUUAUGUUAUAAUUAAGUCUAUGAUUUGAUAGAGCAGUCUGACUGAGCGAUGGUAGGCACCAGCAGGCUCGUAAGCAUUCAUUCAAAAUAGCACUUUUGUGCAUUUUGCCAGCAGCCCUUCGCAAUGCAUUGCGCUGUUUAUGACUUCAAGCCUGUCAACUCCCAAGAUUAGGCUGGAGUAACUGAUGUGAAAUGGCUAGCUAGUUAGCCGGGUGCGCGCUAAUAGCGUUUCAAACGUCACUCGCUCUGAAACUUGGAGUAGUUUUUUCCCUUCCACUACAUGGGUAACCCUGCUUCAAGGGUGGCUGUUGUCGAUGUGUUCCUGGUUCGAGCCCAGGUAGGAGCGAGGAGAGGGACAGAAGCUAUACUGUUACACUGGCAAUACUAAAGUGCCAAUAAGAACAUCCAAUAGUCAAAAGUAUAUGAAAUACAAAUCGUAUAGAGAGAAAUAGUCCUAUAAUUCCUAUAAUAACUACAACCUAAAACAUCUUACCUGGGAAUAUUGAAGACUCAUGUUAAAAGGAACCACCAGCUUUCAUAUGUUCUGAGCAAGGAACUUGAUUUUAUUGAUGUAUUAUAUUAAGUUAAAAUAAGUUUUCAUUCAGUAUUGUUGUAAUUGUCAUUAUUACAAAUAAAUAAAUAAUCGGCUGAUUAAUCGAUAGCGGCUUUUUUUGGUCCUCCAAUAAUCGGUAUCGGUAUCGGCGUUGAAAAAUCCUAAUCGGUCGACCUCUAAUUUAUAGGCAUUAAAACCAGUGCUACAAUAAGAAGUCACAGACAUUCAGCCUAUUUCGAAGAGAAAAUGAAUCUACAGUAGUAGUAGGACUAGUUUGCUUUGAAAUCCGUAAUUCUGAAAGCGUUCAUGCAAUGAAGAAGGAACGCCAAAGUAAAAGCCAAUGCAGACAUACCCUACAUAGUUCAACUCAUCUCAGGCUCAACCUUUGAUCAGUGACAAAUGUUAAAAUGAUUGUUGUUAGACACCAAGAUCAGGGGAGAGCGCGAACGCAGUCCCCCACUACCAUAAAUUAUGCAAUCGAGAUUUCCACAUUUGGGAAAUUCGCAGGGGUCAGCACAGCCGGAGUGCAAUGGCUGAGCCUCACCCUGGGUGAACCGCCUUCUUGAUCACGGUAUCUCCCUUGCCAGGUAAGUAUGAGUUGUACACAUCGGUGGAGGGGUAGUCAUUCUAGGGCAAAUGUUUUUGACUGACGGUUACCACUUUGGCCCCAGAUAAUAAGGCAUCAUAUCGACCAGGGUUUAAUCACGUUCAUGAAUACAGUUGUGGAGAGAGCGGCGGAGAAGCGAUUAAUUUUAGUUUUACUUGGUUAUAUCACUGUCCGACUAUUUUCCCAUCAUGCAACACGGUAGAAAUUAAAUUUGCGUUUACAUUUUAAUAUCUACACAUGUGUCUGAUAUCACAAAAGUAUGCGAUAUACCAAAAUGCUGAAAUCACGUUCGUGCACAUAAAGCCAAACGAAUGACACCAACUAUUUCUGGUGUUUCGUAGCAUUCCAGGAAUUGUAGGUAUUUCGUCGUUUCUUGAAGCUUGUGUUCUGCGCUCGGUAAAACAUGUUGCAAUUACACCAUUGACCACUGGGUGGCAUAAAACCCUCAGAUAUUGGGUAGAGACAGUAGUCUACCAAUUCAUCCACAAAACAGAGUAUAGGCUAGCUGGGCUACAGUAAUAGUAAGUGGGAUAAAUGUUUUUCUUAGCGGUAGGGUGUGCACCGUUCCAGAAGGUCCUGGAUUGGUGAAAAUAAGUGCAGAGCCACCAGGGACCUGUGGAAGGAAGCAUCUCCUGAUCUCCCUGUGUCUGCCAGCGGAGAGGAUCUCACUCCCCAGCUCGUGCUGUAUGGGGUGGUCCGAAUGCCUAUUCCAUCGAAGGCCUUCACCAAGCUCUGGCCCACCCUCACGUGUCUGAAUGAUGCACUGUGGUCCUCCCGCAACCUGCUGGUAGCGAAACGAGUAGAGGCCACCCCCCAGGCAGUGGCAAUGGUAGCCACGGAAGCCCUGGGGAGGUACAAAAUAAAGGGGGCCUCGACCCCAGGCGAAAGGACCCCCACAACACCCAAGGUCCCGGCGGCCACGGCCUGACAGCGCUGUGGCGCCUAGGUGAGGGAUCUCCUCUGGGCCCCGAAGGACAGGAUGGUAAUUGAUUCGGAAGAGUAGGAGAGUUUGAUAAGGACUCAGCCCGUUCCUGUACAAAGGACCGAAGACAGCUUUUUAACGAAGUGACUUUUGAACAUGUUUUCAUGUCUUAAAAAUGUUUUACUUUUGUUAAAUCAUUUGUACACAUUUUAAAUGGCGUUUACAGAUUGGAUGUUUAUAAGAAAAUGUGCUUUUAUUCAAGGUUGUGUUAUUGGUUUUAAAUGAACAACAUGUACUUUAACUAAUUUAAAUGUAACGUUCAAUGCCGUUUUUAUGUGUAUAAAUGAUGCAAAAUAUAUAUGGGCUGUUUUUAAAGGAAAUGUAUAAAUAAAAACUUUUCCAACAGAAAAA